UGAGGAAUAUUGGACAAUGGACGCAAGUCUGAACCAGCCAAGUCGCGUGCAGGAUGACGGCCCUAUGGGUUGUAAACUGCUUUUAUAUGGGGAUAAAGUGGGGAACGUGUUCCCUUUUGCAGGUACCAUAUGAAUAAGGACCGGCUAAUUCCGUGCCAGCAGCCGCGGUAAUACGGUAGGUUCGGGCGUUAUCCGGAUUUAUUGGGUUUAAAGGGAGCGUAGGCCGUUUGGUAAGCGUGUUGUGAAAUGUAGGAGCUCAACUUCUGGAUUGCAGCGCGAACUGUCAGACUUGAGUGCGCACAACGUAGGCAGAAUUCAUGGUGUAGCGGUGAAAUGCUUAGAUAUCAUGAAGAACACCGAUGGCGAAGGCAGCUUACGGGAGCGCAACUGACGCUGAGGCUCGAAGGUGCGGGUAUCGAACAGG
rnacentral:rRNA from 1 species